ensembl:rRNA 5S_rRNA 5S ribosomal RNA
GCCCAAAGAAAUGACCACCCUGAACGCGCCCAACCUCAUCUGAUCUCAGAAGCUAAGCAGGGUCGGGCCUGGUUAGUACUUGGAUGGGAGUCCGCCUGGGAAUACCGGGUGCUGUAGGCU